rnacentral:rRNA from 1 species
UACGUAGGUGGCGAGCGUUGUCCGGAUUUACUGGGCGUAAAGGGAGCGUAGGCGGACUUUUAAGUGAGAUGUGAAAUACUCGAGCUCAACUUGAGUGCUGCAUUUCAAACUGGAAGUCUAGAGUGCAGGAGAGGAGAAUGGAAUUCCUAGUGUAGCGGUGAAAUGCGUAGAGAUUAGGAAGAACACCAGUGGCGAAGGCGAUUCUCUGGACUGUAACUGACGCUGAGGCUCGAAAGCGUGGGGUGCAAACAGG